UGCCGGGAUAGCUCAGUCGG
rnacentral:tRNA from 2 species